rnacentral:rRNA from 1 species
AUACGUAGGUGGCGAGCGUUAUCCGGAAUUACUGGGUGUAAAGGGUGUGUAGGCGGGAAGGCAAGUCGGAUGUGAAAAUUAUGGGCUCAACCCAUAAAGGGCGACCGAAACUGUUUUUCUUGAGGAUCGGAGAGGGAAUGAGAAUUCCCGGUGUAGCGGUGAAAUGCGCAGAGAUCGGGAGGAAUACCGGUGGCGAAGGCGAUCUACUGGCAGAUAACUGACGCUGAGGCGCGAAAGCGUGGGGAUCGAACAGGAUUAGAUACCCUGGUAGUCCACGCAGUAAACGAUGAUGACUAACCGUCGGCGAUAGACCGCCGGUGGCCAAGCGAAAGCGAUAAGUCAUCCACCUGGGGAGUACGACCGCAAGGUUGAAACUCAAAUGAAUUGACGGGG